AUCACGGGAAUUGCAGCAAAUGCUAGCAGGCAGCAGGUGUAGUGUAGCACAUACCACCCACCGCUGGCUGCUGACAAUGGCCAACUUUUGUAAUGUAUUAUGUGCGUGGUCUGCUUUCUUUGGGCUUUGACAUCUUUUGUUACUUGUAACUAUUACAAUACUAAAUUGGGUUUCUCUAAAGCCCCAACUACGAGAAAACUAUUGGAUUCUGAAAUUUACAGACAAGCCUUCACUCGCCCAUCAACAGCAGCUAUCCAUAUUAUUAUUGGAUCCAACUAAACCCAGGACCCAACGGUGGAAACAUGAACUAGUUAAAAAUUAAUUUUACCAAAAAAAGAAAAAUAGAAAAAAAGUUAAUUCUGUUUUUGAAAUCCAGGCCUAGAGGAAUAUACUGACGACAGUGGCACUAAUGUAAAUACCACAAGACUGCUAAAACCCUUUGAAACCCUAGCUGCUGCCCACUUUUUCCACACUCGCUCUCCCUAUAUAAUCACUGGAAACGCCAAUUCUUCAUUGCUGCCUCACUACCCAAAUCAAAACCCUAAUGCUCGUCCAGUCUCUCCAUAAUCUCAUUGCUCGCUCACUUGUGAGCUCUAUUCUGUGGGGCCCUGCAAUUGGGUAGCUUGUUGGUUGUAUUGUCACUGCAAUUGUUGCUUUAACUUGAGUUCAUUUAAUGAAAGCAUGGGUUCGUUUUGCAUCAAGUUAAAAUUCAAAAGAGAGGGUGCGUGGCUAUCUGGUUUUUAAAAGAGAAGCUGGAAGCAACUUCCGGCAAUCUCAUAAAGAUGCUGUCCAUUCGUCACAAGUAGCAGUACACAUGCAUAACGGUGUACCUUGUAUUGAUUUGUUCUUGAUAUGCAGGAUGAAGAUUUAGCAGUAGAUAAAAGCCCAAACGGAUUGUUUCCUACUCUCAUAAGCUUAUAAUCUAAAUUUUCUUUGUUUCUCUAAGGUCUCUGUAUAAUUCAAUCUCUUUGUUCAUAGAAAAAGGACUUAAAAGAAAUUUAAUCGCUUCUAUUGUAUUUUUUUUUCA